rnacentral:rRNA from 1 species
UACGUAGGGUGCGAGCGUUGUCCGGAAUUACUGGGCGUAAAGAGCUCGUAGGUGGUUUGUCGCGUUGUUCGUGAAAACUCACAGCUCAACUGUGGGCGUGCGGGCGAUACGGGCAGGCUAGAGUUCGGUAGGGGAGACUGGAAUUCCUGGUGUAGCGGUGAAAUGCGUAGAGAUCGGGAAGAACAUCGGUGGCGAAAGCGCUCUGCUGGACUGCAACUGACACUCAGGGACGAAAGCUAGGGGAGCGAAUGGG